UUAAGUGUUAGCGAUGAGGAACAUGUAAGGUUGGGAUUGCAAGCCUGGAGAGAGUACUAGAUUUUUGCAAGAUUGGAUAUGUAAUAUUGGCUUCUUUAGUUUUUAGCUAAGGUGAUUUUUACACGGCAAGUAAAGAGAGGUUAUUUGAAAUUUGUAAAGUAGAUAUCUAAAGUCAGUUGGUUAGUUUUGUUUGAUUUAGUCUUUAAUUCUUGACCUUCUUAUGAAUUUCCAAUAGUUAAUAGUAUUAUUUUUGUAUCUCUUUUGUAGUCCAAAGGUCUGUGUUUUGGUAGGAAUUUGAGAACAAUGAAAUGGUGUGUGUGUUGGUAUCUCGGGCAGAUUGGUGAAUCCACGUCUUGAACAAAUUAUUUACAUCAAGAUUCUCGCAGGAUCUCCAGACUUGAUAGAGGGUCGAUCCCCUCAAUUCUGUAAUCUUCGAUGUUUGAAGUUGAAUAUAUGGUUUAAAAGACGCUGCUUGACCGCAGUAACAUCCUUACUUAAGACCUGUCCUUGUAUAGAAUCUCUUUAUCUUACAUCAGCGGAGUUGAACUUUACAGCCAACAAAGAUGAUGGUGAAGUGGAAUUAUCAGUGUCAUCCAUAUUGUGUCACCUCAAGCGAAUCGAAAUCAGAGAACUUAAAGGGUGUGAUGCUGAAGUCAGGUUUCUAGAACUUCUACUGAUGAAUGCUCCGGUAUUGGAGGAAAUGGUUUUGUCUUUUGACAUAUCAAGCUCACCGGAAAUAGCAGGCUCAACUGAUAGAUUGCAGGUUGCAAAGAAGUUGGGUGAGAAGCUGAGAUCACUUUCAAAAGCUUCGCCAAGUCUGGCAAUGAUCUUCUUGUAAUUUUACUAAAUGCUAUAAGUUUUCCAAGGCUUGUUGUCAUUGGAUACUCCUGUUGUUCUUUUUAAGCACCUUAAAUGCUGCAAGGAAAGAUGGAAAUACCGUGUCCCGUUCUUGCUCGCCUUCAAUCAUAAACCAAAAUAGAGACUCCAUCCUCUAGUUCAGCCUGCAGGGUAUGCUCCUUUUUUUUUUGUUUAAUUUUUUUAAAUGUUUUUUAUGUUUUUGUUUCUCCUAUUGACUGUGAUUCAAGUUCUUGCUUUGAUUUACAAGAAACAUCUAGAAACUACAAGGCCUAAGGAUGUACGGCCGGUAGAGAAGACUCUAGAGAGUCGGUUAGUGCAAACAAAGUUUGCUACUGUUUGAAGUCUAGAUAAAGCUAGAAAAGUCUGUCGGUUGUAAUAGGAUAUUAUCUAGUGAAUAUUCUAGGGAAAUGUAGAUCUUGCAAUGAAGGUUUAUGUAAGACUAUAAAUAGGCAUGGGCAUCCUCAUUUGUAAGCAAGCAAGAUUCAAUUCAAUAGAAGAUAAAGUCCAAAUUUACAAA